rnacentral:rRNA from 1 species
GAUGAACGCUGGCGGCGUGCCUAAUACAUGCAAGUCGAGCGAACGGACUAGAAUCUUGCUUCUCUGAUGUUAGCGGCGGACGUGUGAGUAACACGUGGAUAACCUACCUAUAUUACUGGUAUAACUUCGUGAAACCUUAUCUAAUACCGGAUAAUAUUUUGAACCUCAUUGUUCAUAAGUGAUAUACGGUCUUUCUGUCACUUAUGGAUGGAUCCUCGCUGCAUUAGCUAGUUGUUAAGUUAACGGCUUACCAAGGAAACGAUGCAUAGCCGAACUGAGAGGGUGAUAGGCAAAACGGGAACUGAGACAAGGAAAAGAAGACUACGGGAGGAAGCAGAAGGGAAUAGUCGGCAAUGGGAGAAAGAAUGACGGAGAAAAGCGGAGUGAGUGAUGAAGGUCUGAGGAUCGUAAAAAUCUGUUAUGAGGGAAGAAAAAAUGUGGAAGUAAAUGAGAAAAGAGUGAAGGUAACUAAUAAGAAAGCAACGGCUAACUACGUG